rnacentral:lncRNA from 1 species
AAGGCAAAAAGUUUAUAAAAAAGGAAAACAGCAACAUGGUAAGGGACAAAAGCCUCCUAAUCCUAGGAAAAGGAGUGUAGAUGACUGGCCCAAGGGGAAGUGCUUUCAUUGUGGACAAAAGGGACAUUGGCAGUGAAACUAUCCCAAUUACCUUACUAGGAGCAAGUUAGGUACAUCUCAGACCCUUUAUAUUGAGUCUUGUUUAGUGGUUGAUUCUACAAAUACUUGGAUUGUAGAUUUUGGUACUACUAACCAUGUCUGUAACUCUUUACAG